GAGGAUACAACUCAUCACGAGGAAUCAGUUAAGGCUCAAGAGGCUAUUAUCACUGCUACUACUGAAGAAGUAGCACCAACUGAAGUUGCGGAGGAGGCAAAGGAAGUUGCAGAGACUGUUGUGGCUUCUGGGGAAGAUGUACCUAAGGCUGAAGCGGAGGCUUCAAAAGACGAGGAAAACAUAGUUGCAAAAGAUGAGGAAGUCCUAGUCGAAGCUGAGACAAAGGAAGUGAAGGUAGAGGAGCCCAAGGAAGUUGUAGGAGUCGAAAAAGAAGAAGAACCAACUCUGGAGAAGAGUACUAGUACUACAACUGAAGAGGAAACUACUACACCUAAUUAUAAGGUAGCCCCUGAGCCAGAACCAGAACGAGUGCUUGUGGAGGAGGCCAAGGACAAGGAGAAUACUGCUGAAAUUCCUCCGGUGGCACCAGUUAAACCGGAGGCACCGGU
rnacentral:lncRNA from 1 species